GAUGAACGCUGGCGGCGUGCCUAAUACAUGCAAGUCGAGCGAACAGACGAGGAGCUUGCUCCUCUGACGUUAGCGGCGGACGGGUGAGUAACACGUGGAUAACCUACCUAUAAGACUGGGAUAACUUCGGGAAACCGGAGCUAAUACCGGAUAACAUGUUGAACCGCAUGGUUCAACAGUGAAAGACGGUCUUGCUGUCACUUAUAGAUGAUCCGCGCCGCAUUAGCUAGUUGGUAAGGUAACGGCUUACCAAGGCAACGAUGCGUAGCCGACCUGAGAGGGUGAUCGGCCACACUGGAACUGAGACACGGUCCAGACUCCUACGGGAGGCAGCAGUAGGGAAUCUUCCGCAAUGGGCGAAAGCCUGACGGAGCAACGCCGCGUGAGUGAUGAAGGUCUUCGGAUCGUAAAACUCUGUUAUUAGGGAAGAACAAAUGUGUAAGUAACUAUGCACGUCUUGACGGUACCUAAUCAGAAAGCCACGGCUAACUACGUG
rnacentral:rRNA from 1 species